UGGGGAAUAUUAUUCUGGUUAUUUUUCAUUCAAUCAAUCUUCAUAGUUUGACCACUGCUAAUCCAGACCAGAUAGACAUUCCUACUAAAGAUGCAAUUAUUGCAGCUGCAGAAAUUACUUUAGUAUUGGUUAUACUUGGAUUUAUAAUGGGCAUUAUACUACUAAGGGGUUCAAAUCAACAACGAGUUGGUUUCCUACUAGCAUGGUUAAUCUACGACGGUGCAGCGAUUCUCACUUCAAUUGUUAGCUUGAUAAUAAACAUUAUAAAUUACAGCGACGAUUCCUCAAUCGGUUUAAUACUUGGAAGUGGCAUUGUGGGCAUUGCUAUAGAUGCAUUCUGUUUUGUCAUUGUCUUCAUUCAUGUGAAAGAAAUACGUUAAAGUGUUUUGACCAUGUAAAUUCAAUUAUUAAUUCGAUUAAAAUUAUUAAAAUACAAUAACACGGUA